GAUGAACGCUAGCUACAGGCUUACCACAUGCAAGUCGAGGGACCGGCGCACGGGUGAGUAACACGUAUCCAACCUGCCCUUUACUCGGGGAUAGCCUUUCGAAAGAAAGAUUAAUACCCGAUAUAAAGGAUGGGGAUGCGUUCCAUUAGGUUGUUGGUGAGGUAACGUCCCACCAAGCCUUCGAUGGAUAGGGGUUCUGAGAGGAAGGGCCCCCACAUUGGAACUGAGACACGGUACAAACGACUACGGGAGGAAGCAGGGAGGAAUAUUGGUCAAUGGGCGGUAGCCUGAACCAGCAAAGUAGCGUGAAGGAUGAAGGAUUAUGGGUCGUAAACUUCUUUUAUAUAAGAAUAUGUAUUAUAUGAAUAAGGAUCGGCUAACUCCGUGCCAGCAGCCGCGGUAAUUC
rnacentral:rRNA from 1 species